rnacentral:lncRNA from 1 species
AGGUGGUGAAAUCAUGGCUCACUGCAGCCUUGACCUCUGGGCUCAAGGAAUCCUUCCUCGUCAGCCUCUCCAGUAGCUAGGACUACAGGUGUGUGCAACCACACCCA